UCAUCAGGUCGGAUAAUCCUUAGCUGUUCCUCCUUUGAGGGGCAGAGUGGAACAUGAGGACUGGAGUUAGCAUGAUUCAUGAUUAACGUCUGCAUAAUCAGGACUUGCAACACCCUGAUUGAUCCUAUUUGAU